rnacentral:lncRNA from 1 species
GCCAAAGGCAGGGCCCCGAAAGGCCUAUUGUAUAUUUGCCACAGCUAGUCAGCUUCAAGUUUAACACUGUUCUUCACCCAAACAUGUUUAUUCGACAAACUCUGCAAUAAACAUUUGCAUCAUGAAUGUCACCCAGUGUGACGCGGACCACGAGCACAGUCGCUGCAGUAAGAUAACACAAGUCGGCAAAAAAUACGUCGUUACCAAUAAUUCAUGACUGCUUUUCAGUUACUACGUCCUACCUUGUGUGUAUAGAACUGGGCCCCUUAUAUUUUCUGUCACCUGUCACCUUGAUACACCGAAUGUGGUAAGGAAACCAGGUAAAAAUAAGAGUUAUUUGGAACAAUUCAGCCGUUUGAUACUUCAGUUUCCUCAGGCAAGGUGAAAAAGGCGGGAACAAGGGGAGCGCGCGCGCGCUACUGGUGAGUCACCAAGUAUUUCUCUGUACCGAUUGAUUUUUUUUUUUUUUAUUAGAAAUCGCGACACCACACUGCAGUACUGAAUAUUUAAAAAAAUUAAAAUCACAGACCUUUUAAUGGGGUCGGUGUGUUCUCGACAGCCCAGAGCACCGACCACUUGUGCCCGAAGGAAACGCGAGGCCCAAGUGUGUCGCACUCAGCCUCAGGUGCUCGGGGAGCCGCUGAUUGGCGGCGCAGUGAGUAGCGCUGGUACCUCUGCGCCUCGGCCGUUCGAAUACAACUCAGUGGGGGAUGUGUCCAGGGGACAAAAUCCUGCACACAGGGGACAGAAGGCUGCACACACCCCACCGAUGCUCUUCAGGCACAUGUGACCAGAAAAGAGGAGACAAGACACUUCAUUUAUUUUGCCCCUCCCUUGGAAAAAUAUAGUCAAAGAGACUUACUACAGAAUGUGGUUUAUACUGCUCCACCAGAUUGCAUUUCCUACACUACUAUGGCAAGGAAAUAUUGUUUGUUUUGGGAAAAAGUAUACCAUCUCCUUUCUAACUUUGUGUCAAAGAAAGAGCCGAGGAUAUCCAACACAAAUAUGAGCCAUGAC